AUUGGAGGGAAGUGUCUACAAACCAAGGCAGACCAAGGAAUGCCUGGAGCCACCAGAAGCUGGAAGAGGCAAGGAAGGAGUCUUCUCUUGAGUGUGACACUGUCAACCACUUGAGAUCAGACUUCUGGCCUCCAGAAAUAAUAGAGCCAUGGUAACCGGAAUCGCCCAUUUUUGUGAGCAAGCAAACAAAAUGCCACCUUCUAAGAAGAAAGAGCAGAAAGAGGAGUCAGGCAUUUAAGAGGAUCAGAAGCCACCGAAUCACUCCUACCCUGGGCCGUCUUUAUUAGACAGCAUUUUUAUGCAGUGUCAGCCACACCAACGAGACACGAUGGAUGAGGCUGGAGUAAACGAUAAAACUAUACGGAUGCC